rnacentral:rRNA from 1 species
CCUACGGGAGGCAGCAGUGGGGAAUUUUGGACAAUGGGCGCAAGCCUGAUCCAGCCAUGCCGCGUGCAGGAUGAAGGCCUUCGGGUUGUAAACUGCUUUUGUACGGAACGAAAAGACUCUGGUUAAUACCUGGGGUCCAUGACGGUACCGUAAGAAUAAGCACCGGCUAACUACGUGCCAGCAGCCGCGGUAAUACGUAGGGUGCGAGCGUUAAUCGGAAUUACUGGGCGUAAAGCGUGCGCAGGCGGUUAUAUAAGACAGAUGUGAAAUCCCCGGGCUCAACCUGGGAACUGCAUUUGUGACUGUAUAGCUAGAGUACGGCAGAGGGGGAUGGAAUUCCGCGUGUAGCAGUGAAAUGCGUAGAUAUGCGGAGGAACACCGAUGGCGAAGGCAAUCCCCUGGGCCUGUACUGACGCUCAUGCACGAAAGCGUGGGGAGCAAACAGGAUUAGAUACCCUGGUAGUCCACGCCCUAAACGAUGUCAACUGGUUGUUGGGUCUUCACUGACUCAAUAACGAAGCUAACGCGUGAAGUUGACCGCCUGGGGAGUACGGCCGCGAAGGUUGAAACGUUAGAAAUUGAAGUUGAGGAGAGAGACGAGCCAGGCGAGGAGAGGG